GGAAUAUGGAUAAGUAAACAAAUGAUUCUAAGCUAAGAAUCCUUAGGAUGUGGACAGUCCAGAAUAUUAUAAGAGACAACAGAGGAUAGAAUUUAACAUAUGGCUAAGAAGAAAGUUGAGAAGAAGAGUGAAGAAUUUCUUCCAUGUGUGUGGAAGAUGAUGAUACAUGACUAGCUAGCAUCUUCUAGAAGCCAAUGAUCUUUGUUUAGACAAAAAGUUGGAUAAAUAUCAAGUCAAAGAAAUAAAAAGCAACUAAGGAAGAAUAUUGAAAUCAA